GUGGCUGCGGCAGGAGAUGUCGAGGAUGGGCAGAACCUUUGGUCCUGCAUCCUCAGCGAGGUCUCCAGCCGCUCGUGCUCCAAGCUCCCUGUGGGGAAGAACAUGCUACUGCUGGUGAUUAGAGACUUCCAAGAAUAUGUAGAGCCAGGAGAAGACUUCCUGGCUUCUCCCCUGAGAAGAAAUACUGCAUCACAAGAAGACAAAGAUGACAGUGUAGUUUUACCUCUGGGUGCGGAUACACUUACACAUAACUUGGGCAUUCCAGUACUAGUAGUUUGCA
rnacentral:lncRNA from 10 species